ACCCGACCCAAUCUCCUUAUUCCCAAAUCCAAAAUCGUUUGUACUCCUCUAUUCUCUUCUUCCUUCAUUCAACAACAAACAACACCAGAAACUCUUUCCCUACAAAAUCCCCCAAAAUCCGCAAGAUUCCAAGGUCAUUCAUCACCCUCAAGUCAAUAUGGGAGCAGCUAUUUCGUCGAAGUCAACGGUGGAAUCAUCUUCUCAACCCAUCAUUCCGGUUCGCUGCCCAGAACUAGCGACAGGUACUAGAGAUCAUCAAUCGGCGCUCCGUUGAAGAUCCACUUACACUCCCAGCUAGUUGCGACAAGUACUAGAGAUCAUCAAUCGGCGCUCCAUUGAAGAUCCACUUAUACUCCCAGCUAGUUGGUGAGUCCUCCUAGUUUCCGGAGGAUGUUGAGUUUCCUUGUAUAGUUUUGUUGCUGUUGUUUCUUUUAUCUUGAUUGUUGGUAGCCAUGGGCUUGUCAUUGGCACCUUCUAGACUUUGGUAGAGGCUUUAUAGACUAGAGUGUGGAAAGGUUGGACUGUUACUUUGAGGAGUCCUAUUAUGUUUAUUCUGUUGAGUUAAACAUGUUUGGCCUUCGGCCCCCAUGUUGUAUAUAACAUGUUAUAAUUGAGUCUUCCUUUGAGCGUAUAUGACUGAAUGAUGGAAUGUUUGAGUUAGGUGGUUUACUUGAAGGUCAGAAAUGGCUUUCAAGUGUCGGUCACGUCUAGGGUACCCUCCCGGGGCGUGACAUGAAGAGAACGGCGUCGACUGAAGCAAACAAAAAAAUCUUCAGAUUACAUUGAUUUGGAGGCCCAACGAAAAGGGGAGGCUCAAGUUCCGGAGUGAUUGCUUGAUUAUUUGAGAUACAGGUGUUAGAGAUCCUCAACAGGCGCAUCAUUGAAGAUCAUUACUUUUCGGCUAUUUGGUUCCGUGCCUGGACUUUGAUCACUGUUCUUUUCUUGAUCAUUCGAGGCUUCUGGGAAUUGAGAGAGGUAGCCAUUAAUAUCCAGCGAACUCUCAUACUUCCUGUAUUUUUAUGUUUUACUCUGUUUGAGAGUUGAAGACAUAAUGAGACUUGUACUUUGAUUUCAAUUUUACUUUCUUUAGCGGCUUGUACAUGUGACAACCAAUAUUUAGGGGUAAUUUUAAGUUGACAGACUUCCGUUUUUGAUUA